UCCUCGGUAGUAUAGUGGUUAGUAUCCCCGCCUGUCACGCGGGAGACCAGGAGUUCGAUUUUCGGGGAG
rnacentral:tRNA from 1 species